rnacentral:rRNA from 4 species
AAAUUGAAGAGUUUGAUCAUGGCUCAGAUUGAACGCUGGCGGCAGGCCUAACACAUGCAAGUCGAACGGUAACAGGAAGCAGCUUGCUGCUUCGCUGACGAGUGGCGGACGGGUGAGUAAUGUCUGGGAAACUGCCUGAUGGAGGGGGAUAACUACUGGAAACGGUGGCUAAUACCGCAUAACGUCGCAAGACCAAAGAGGGGGACCUUCGGGCCUCUUGCCAUCAGAUGUGCCCAGAUGGGAUUAGCUU